AUUAAACUGAAGAGUUUGAUCCUGGCUCAGAUUGAACGCUGGUGGCAUGCUUAACACAUGCAAGUCGAACGGUAACAGGUCUUAGGAUGCUGACGAGUGGCGGACGGGUGAGUAACGCGUAGGAAUCUGCCCAUUUGAGGGGGAUACCAGUUGGAAACGACUGUUAAUACCGCAUAAUAUCUGUGGAUUAAAGGUGGCUUUCGGGCUGUCGCAGAUGGAUGAGCCUGCGUUGGAUUAGCUAGUUGGUGGGGUAAGGGCCCACCAAGGCUACGAUCCAUAGCUGAUUUGAGAGGAUGAUCAGCCACAUUGGGACUGAGACACGGCCCAAACUCCUACGGGAGGCAGCAGUGGGGAAUAUUGGACAAUGGGGGCAACCCUGAUCCAGCAAUGCCAUGUGUGUGAAGAAGGCCCUAGGGUUGUAAAGCACUUUAGUUGGGGAGGAAAGCCUCAAGGUUAAUAGCCUUGGGGGAGGACGUUACCCAAAGAAUAAGCACCGGCUAACUCCGUGCCAGCAGCCGCGGUAAUACGGGGGGUGCAAGCGUUAAUCGGAAUUACUGGGCGUAAAGGGUCUGUAGGUGGUUUGUUAAGUCAGAUGUGAAAGCCCAGGGCUCAACCUUGGAACUGCAUUUGAUACUGGCAAACUAGAGUACGGUAGAGGAAUGGGGAAUUUCUGGUGUAGCGGUGAAAUGCGUAGAGAUCAGAAGGAACACCAAUGGCGAAGGCAACAUUCUGGACCGAUACUGACACUGAGGGACGAAAGCGUGGGGAUCAAACAGGAUUAGAUACCCUGGUAGUCCACGCUGUAAACGAUGAGUACUAGCUGUUGGAGUCGGUGUAAAGGCUCUAGUGGCGCAGCUAACGCGAUAAGUACUCCGCCUGGGGACUACGGCCGCAAGGCUAAAACUCAAAGGAAUUGACGGGGACCCGCACAAGCGGUGGAGCAUGUGGUUUAAUUCGAUGCAACGCGAAGAACCUUACCUGG
rnacentral:rRNA from 1 species